AAAUAUGAAGAAGGAAACGAAUUCUAUGAACAUGGCUCCUGUGUCGAUCAUAUGAGCAUGCCUGAGGAUAAUAGGAAUUGCCAAACUCCCAACAGUUGACGCGCCGGUCAAGAACUUAGCAGCACCUAUCCAUCCUCCACCAUCUCGGCUAAUCAGAAACUGUGUGGACCCACCUCCAAAAAAUAAACAAGGCAUUGGAACAAGCACGUACAUCAAAGCUGAUAACAAAGGCCACCAAUUGUUGUAUAGCGCACAAGCCAAAAUCUGAAGCAAGAUGCUAGAUGAAAACAUAAACGCAAGCCCAGCUAACACUUCCAAUGUCAUCGUCAUUAUUAG
rnacentral:misc_RNA from 1 species